UACGUAGGCAGCAAGCGUUGUUCGGAGUUACUGGGCGUAAAGAGUGUGUAGGCGGUGCUCUAAGUUCGGUGUGAAAUCUCCCGGCUCAACUGGGAGGGUGCGCCGAAAACUGGAGUGCUCGAGUACGGGAGAGGAAAGCGGAAUUCCUGGUGUAGCGGUGAAAUGCGUAGAUAUCAGGAGGAACACCUGUGGUGUAGACGGCUUUCUGGACCGUAACUGACGCUGAGACACGAAAGCGUGGGGAGCAAACAGG
rnacentral:rRNA from 1 species